CCUACGGGAGGCAGCAGUGAGGAAUAUUGGUCAAUGGACGCAAGUCUGAACCAGCCAUGCCGCGUGCAGGAAGACGGCUCUAUGAGUUGUAAACUGCUUUUGUACGAGGGUAAACGCAGAUACGCGUAUCUGUCUGAAAGUAUCGUACGAAUAAGGAUCGGCUAACUCCGUUCCAGCCGCCGCGGUAAUACGGAGGAUUCAAGCGUUAUCCGGAUUUAUUGGGUUUAAAGGGUGCGUAGGCGGUCGGAUAAGUUAGAGGUGAAAUCCCGAGGCUCAACGUCGGAAUUGCCUCUGAUACUGUUCGGCUAGAGAGUAGUUGCGGUAUGCGGAAUGUAUGGUGUAGCGGUGAAAUGCUUAGAGAUCAGACAGAACACCGAUUGCGAAGGCAGCUUACCAAGCUACUUCUGACGUUGAGGCACGAAAGCUUGGGGAGCAAACAGGAUUAGAUACCCUUGUAGUC
rnacentral:rRNA from 1 species